AUAAUAUUAAAUAUUAAGCCGAAGACAGUAUGUGGGGCAACCCUUAAUUUCAUACCGAGGAUUGAAAUGUAUACUAGACUAUACACACUCCCUCUAUGUCUGCGGUGACAUUGAGGUUUUUUUAUUGAAAA
rfam:Alloiococcus otitis ATCC 51267 genomic scaffold supercont1.2, whole genome shotgun sequence.